GUUGAUCCUGCGGGAGGUCGCUGCUAUCAGAAUUCGACUUAACUAAGCUAGUUCAGGGGCUCUUCGGAGCACCGGCAGACAGUUCCAUAACACGUCGAUAAUCUAACCUUGCGUCAGGGAUAGCCUUGGGAAACUGAGGGUAACACCUGAUAUGAGAAAAAUACUGGAAUGUAUUUUCUUUCAAAGGCAACGCGCAAGGAUGAGUCGGCGUCCGAUUAGAUUGUUGGUGGGUAACGGCCCACCAAGUCAAAGAUCGGUAGGGGCCUUGGGAGAGGUAGCCUCGAGGAGGACACUGAGAUAAGGGUCCUGACUCUACGGAGUAUAGCAAGUGCGAAAACUUUACAAUACACGAAAGUGUGAUAAGGGGAUUCUGAGUGCUUAUGCUCUGCAUAAGCUUUUGCCAAGUGUAAAAAGCUUGGAGAAUAAGUGGUGGGCAAGACUGGUGCCAGCAGCCGCGGUAACACCAGCGCCACAAGUGGGGGCCAGCAUUAUUGGGCUUAAAGCGUUCGUAGUCGGUUUGGUAAAUCUUUUGUGAAAUUGUUGGGCUCAACCCAACGUCGUGCAGAAGACACUUCCAGACUAGAGACCGGGAGGGGUUAUGAAGUAUUUGCGGGGUAGCGGUAAAAUGCUAUAAUCCCGUGAGGACUACCAGUAGCGAAGGCGUCUAACCAGAACGGGUCUGACGAUGAGGAACGAAAGCCAGGGGAGCGAACCGGAUUAGAUACCCGAGUAGUCCUGGCCGUAAACGCUGCGAGUUAGGUGUUGCAUAUUCUCCGUGAAUAUGCAGUGUCGGAGCGAAAGCGUUAAACUCGCCGCCUGGGAAGUACGGUCGCAAGACUGAAACUUAAAGGAAUUGGCGGGGGAGCACAACAAGGGGUGCGGCGUGCGGUUUAAUCCAACUCAACGCGGAGAAUCUCACCAGAGGCGACGGCAGGAUGAAGGUCAGCCUGAAGGGCUUACCCAACGAGCCGAGAGGUGGUGCAUGGCCGUCGUCAGCUCGUGCCGUGAGGUGUCCUGUUAAGUCAGGCAACGAGCGAGACCUGUACCUACAAUUGCCAGCAACACUUUAUGUGGAUUGGGCACAUUGUAGGGACUGCCUUGGAAACAAGGAGGAAGGUGCAGGCAACGGUAGGUCUGUAUGCCCCGAAUCCUCUGGGCUACACGCGCGCAACAAUGGUAAGGACAAAAGGAUACGACUCCGAAAGGAGAAGUUAACCCUCUAAACCUUAUCUCAGUCCAGAUUGAGGAUUGUAACUCAUCCUCAUGACGCUGGAAUCCCUAGUAAUCAGAUUUUAGCAUAAUCUGGUGAAUAUGUCCCUGCUCCUUGCACACACCGCCCGUCAAACCAACCGAGCAGGGUUUUGGUAAACGCAAUUCUUUAAAUUGUGUGAAUCAGAGCUCAGUGAGGUGGGUUAAGUCGUCACAAGGUA
rnacentral:rRNA from 1 species